rnacentral:rRNA from 2 species
UACGUAGGGGGCAAGCGUUAUCCGGAUUUACUGGGUGUAAAGGGAGCGUAGACGGCUCUGCAAGUCUGAUGUGAAAGCCCGGGGCUCAACCCCGGGACUGCAUUGGAAACUGCGGAGCUAGAGUGCAGGAGAGGUAAGUGGAAUUCCUAGUGUAGCGGUGAAAUGCGUAGAUAUUAGGAGGAACACCAGUGGCGAAGGCGGCUUACUGGACUGUAACUGACGUUGAGGCUCGAAAGCGUGGGGAGCAAACAGG